rnacentral:ncRNA from 1 species
AUAAAAACCAUGACAGGGAAAAGUAGCUUGAUCUUCGCCAUGCAGGGAGAAAAUGCCGUAGACUGGAAGCAUUUUUAUGGGGAAAUGAAGCGAAGUUCACCCCUCGAGUUGCCGCUUGGACCAUUGCCUGCAAUGUAAAGGCGGGACGGUUAAAAGCCGUUAUUGAAAUGAAGCGAACAUAAUUUAAUUAUGUUAAUUAGGGUGGUACCGCGAACCAUUGCCUCGUCCCUUUU